rnacentral:lncRNA from 1 species
UGACGGCGCCCGCGACCACGACAAGGAUGGCGACCAUCUCUUCGGAAGCCUAACGAUCCAGCACAGGUCCCAGCCCUGCGCAGCCGCCCGCCAAGCCGCCAGAGGACCAGCCGAACGCCAAAGGCUAGGAGUGGACGAUUGCAGGAAGUUUCCAACUCGCCGACUUCGCCCCACUCCACUGGCUCCGGCUUGGCGGUCCCCGGCUUCGGGGUGCCCUCCGUCCCUCCCCCUCGCGUCGUCGCGUUCUCCCUUGGCAUAACCCCCCGCCGCGGGGCCGCAGACCCCCUAAGCGCUUCGUGCGCUCUCCGCGCCCUGCCCACCGGCCCCGACCCCUCCCCCGACCGGACGGGAGAGGUGGGAAGUUUGGGGGCACCCGCUGUGGGUGUCCCAUUUGCGGGGCUGGGCUCCGGGGAGCCGGCGCGCGGCGCCCGCUCCCUGCCCGCCAGCCGUUUGGGAGCUCAGGCGCGGGCAGCCGCUUUUGUUCCCGGGAAGGGCGGAGCUGCGUCCCGGGGAGACACGCGUUGCAGCCGGCAGCGUAGUUGCUCCCCGCUGGCCGGCCGCUCCGGGAGGGCCCCGCAGCGGAGGGUCGGGGCUGGGGCGGGCUGGGGAGGGGGCCCAGGGCUGGGGCCGGUUCGGCCUCCCGGGUGGCGCGCGGGCCGAGGAGCUAGGAGGACCGCCGCGCCGCUUGUCCUUUGGAUAAACCUUGGCGGUUCCUCCUCUGGUGUCCGUGGACCCCGCCGCGGCGUUCUCCAGGGCCGCGGACCUUUGCCCACCGGUUGCGCCCGCUGCCCCGGGCAGAAAGGACCCCCCUCCUCCCGGACCGAGCCCCGAGCCCCAUGGAGCAGGCAAGGGCCAGAGUCCCGGGGCCGAGGCCCGACCGGCGGACGCUCCGGGACCUUUUCCCGCCCCCGAGGGUGCAUGUCCGGCCGGGGCCGGGACUGGCUGGGAAACCGAGGCCAGAAGAGGUCGCAAUCCAGCGAGGAAUCGGACUUUCCUGCAUUCCUACAGCAAAUCCUGGUUGGUCAUGGUGGAGACUGUAAAGCAAUCAUUCUCAAGGAGGGGCUUUUUCACGCAGUAUGCCUGGAGAGAGGCUGCACCACCACCGCGUUCCUCCCCGAUGAGUCCAGUGAGCCACGGCUGCGGGCUACGGUGUUGUGGUGCUCGGGUGUGUUGGAAGGAAAUGGUUCCCGAGGCAUGCCAGCUAGCACCUGACCUACAAGAUUCCAGCUGUUUAACUGCCAUCACAAAGGCUCAUGAUGUGUUGACAGUAUUUCUGCCUGCUGCUCUGAAAAUUCAAGGAAAUAAAUACCUGACAUUUAUUGAAUGCCAGAAGCUGUUCUAAGAACUUUCUAUGUAUUAUCUAUUUUAGUCAUUAUAAUAUCCUUAUGAAAUAGGCACUUUUAUCCCCAUUUUACAGAUGAAUAAAAUAAGGCACAGAAGGGUUAAGCAACUUUCACAGGUAGAAAGCUGCACAGCCAGGAUUUAAGCCCAAGCUCUUAACCACUGCACUACAUCAAUGCAGCAAAGGCUGAAUGAACCAGAGUAUUUGAUUUACUUAGCUCUUAUGCUGGAAAGAUGGUGAGGCUUUUGCUCAUGGUCUGUAUUCAAGCACAAAUACCAAAAUCAAGGACACCUUUGCAUUGGUGCUCCAUAGGAGGUUUCCUUUUUUGUUGUUUAGAGAGAAGGUCUUACUCUGUUGCCCUGGCUGGAGUGCAGUGGUGCGAUCACAGCUCACUGCAGCCUUGACCUCCAGAGCUCAAGCAAUCCUCCACCUCAGCCUCCUGAGUAGCUGGGACUAUAGGUGCGCACUUCCACACCCAGCUAAUUUUUAAUUUUUUUUUUUUUGUAGAGACCGUCUCCCUAUAUUGCCCAGGUUGGUCUAGAAUUCCUAGGGCUCAAGUGAUCCUCCCGCCUUGGCCUAUUGGGAUUACAGAUAUGAGCCAUGGCACCCAACCUCAGAAGAGGCGCUUUUCUUGAGUUCUGGAAGGGGAUAGGAAUUAAUGUUUUGUUUGUUUGUUUGUUUUUUACUCGUCACAGAAAAGGUUCAAAGAGUAAGAUAAGCAACGUCUCAUAAUGCUGUAGUCUAAUGGACAAGGGCCCUAGCCAUCUGUGCCUGGAUGACUCUUCCUCCCAAUUUUUAAGUGUCAAAAGAUAAUUUAGAAUCUGGCAUUCUGCAUUAGAAAUCUGAACCAGUGGAGCUGUGUGCUGAUUUUCAUCAGCUUAAGUUGUCUUUAUUGUCAGUGGCUUCCUUUCCCCACAGCAGCUUUAUGGAGGCACGUGCCCAGGCAUAUGAGGAGCUUCUGUCCUUUAGUGUAUGUACACCCACAAUGCUGCAGAGAAGAGAAUCAGCAUACUGUUGGGACACAGCAGGUACCACUGCCUUCUGAAGUUUCUAGAGGUGCUAUGCCUUCAUUGUUUUCCUGCACAUGAACAUUAACAUCCACAUCAGGAUCUGGAAACCUUUACAGAAGCUGAAGUUUUAAAAAGAAAAUGAAUGGGAUUUUAUUCAAGAUAAGGAAAGGAUAAGAGUGAAUCAUCAAAUGAAACCAUGAGGCCACUUCACAAAUAUUUUAUCAAAAAACUCACCUGAGAAAACUCAAAGAAUCACAGUAAUAAGCUGUCUAUGCCAUAUUUUUUUUUUCCUUUUUUGAAAAUGCCAAGAAGCUACUACUAAGAAUGUAUUCAAGAGACGGAAGUUCCAAGAUUCAUCACAGGGUCAGGUGGGCUCAACUUAGUUUCCUGGGCCCUCUAUAACACUUCAUGUUCAGAAUUGUCUCCAAAUAAAAGCAAUUUAAGGGAACAUUCAAUAUGGGUGUCUUUGCUGUGCUUGCAGUCUUAAUUCUGUGGACACUGAUAUUCUAUCAAUGGAAAAUUGAGCCUUUAGUGAACUUGAAUACCCUGUUCCCCAAUCACUGCCCAGAGAGCAGUUUCUGAGCAGCCAACAUGUCAGAGGCAGGAAAACAGCAGCUAAAAGGCAAAGGAGAAAAAUGGAAGACACCUGCCUUUACACGUGUAUUUUAAGCUAAAUAACCAUGAUAAAAUAUCACCAACACCCAUUUUUUGUAACUUCUUAAUUGUCCCACAUCAAAGAUAAGUAUGGACAACUGUAAUUGGUUCUUAUAUAUCCCUAAAUUCCUAAUUGAAAUCAAUUCCAAUAAAUCGUUGGUGCUCAGUAGAAAAAUGCAAAAUUUAAAUAUAUAUAUUCAGUAGAAGUUACCUUCAUAACUUGUGGGGCAUUAUCAAAAUAUAAUUGGAAACCCCUCUUUGUAACCAACUAACCAAAUGAUCUUUUCUUAAAGGCACAAAUUAAAAGGUGGCAAAACAACCAUAUAUUUAGUGUGUGGGAUCACAUUCUCCUAAAGAGCAUCAGGAAAUGUAGGUAGAAGUCAAUGUUGUAGCCUAGGUUAGAAGGCCCUGCUUGCUGGGAGUUAACUCUGGUUAUUGGAUUGUGGGGAGGUGUGGCAGGGAAGGUGGUCAGGGGAACACGGGCACUCCAGAAGCUCGGAGCAGCAGCUCAUCAGCUGUGAGGCACCGUCAGCAUCCUUGCGUCCUGUGUGGCUGUGAGGCACCGUCAGCAUCCUCGCGUCCUGUGUGGCUGUGAGGCACUGUCAGCAUCCUCGCGUCCUGUGUGGCUGUGAGGCACCGUCAGCAUCCUCGCGUCCUGUGUGGCUGUGAGGCACCGUCAGCAUCCUCGGUCCUGUGCGGCUGUGAGGCACUGUCAGCAUCCUCGCAUCCUGUGCAGCUGGGCCAGGACAAACUGGCUGAACUGCAGCUCUGCUUGCAGCUUGCUAGAAAUACAACUUGGUAACAACAGGAGAUUGUGGACACACUAUUUUUCGUUAGUUUAUUACAAAACUACAGAUACAAUACACAAAAUUCUAAUUCCGAAAUCCUUCUACAUUUUUU